rnacentral:lncRNA from 1 species
GUACUAGUAAUUUGCCAACAAUUCCAUCUAAAUAUGGCGUUAAAAUAUCUGGAGUGCAGUUCUCACUGAAGUUGAGCACAGCUGAAGCAGCAUGUGCCUGUAGAAAUUCGAACAACAAUGGAAAACCAUUAUUAACUAUCAUUCAAAGUAAAGAACGAGAAAAUUAAAAAUAAAAUAAUCUUGAGCACUGAGCCACUGAAGCAAAAUGCAAUUGUUUGUUCAACAAAAAAUGUAGCCAAUUGAUUGAAGGUUUAACAUGCACACAAAAUAAUGUUAAGUAUAAAGCAGGGUGUGGGGUCAGGAAGAAAACCACUUAUGUCAAAAGAAAAAAGAACCGUAAAAAUUUUUUUCAAUGUAAAUAUCAAAAACUAUUUUAAAAAAAAAAUCCUUCACAGUCAGAAGUUUGCUGUAGAAUUCUAUAUAAAUAUUUGACUACAAAUCUAAUAACUCAGAAGAUGGAUAUUUAGCACAUAUUUGAAAGUCAAUACAUAAACCAAUAUUUAAAAGACAUAUAGAAAACAAAAUAUGGGGCAGAAAGACUAAAUUGGCAGCCAAGUCUUUUAUAAUAAAGAAAAUGGAAAACAGAUUUAGAAGAGAUCAGAACACGAAUAUGUGGUUCAUUCCUUGUUAAGGGGGAGCGGAAUGCAAGGACUCCUUCAAAAGUGGGCUGACAUGAGGAGUGUAUGAAGAGAUUGUUACAACGGACCACUUUAUGAAGAAAGAUCAUUGUUGCCCGUGCAACCUCAACAAGGAAUUGUCCAACGAGAUCCUAAUUCAUUGUGGUAAAACUAGUAUUCCCUCUACAAUCUCAUGGAUGAUCCCUUGGCUGGUGAAGAUGGUUUUAAUUAGUUGGCAGGGAGUUUUUUGGGCAAGAAGAGUAAAAGGAAGUGGAGAACAGCCUCCUUGUCUUGGAGCAUAUUGCAUGAGUGGAGUUACAAAAUCUGUAAGAAUUGAACCCUUAAGAUUAAGCUGUGAAAGAGUCUUUUCUCAGAUCUUUGUUCGAGGCAUCCUUCAGGGUCAUUAUCCAUCUUUCAUUUAUUGUUUAGUGAGGAGUUAGAUAGGCCUUUUAUCUUCUUUUCUAGCAAUUUGACACCCUUUUAUAAUUCCCGUGUUCAUGGUGUACUUCCCUUUUUGCUAGGCGCCUUCUAAUAAAAUUUUAUUUUCCUAUUAACAAAAAAGUCACAGCUACAACCAAAAUCUCUAGCAACCAAUUCCCUAAUGAAUGACCUACCUAAUUCUAUGUAAUUUAUUUGAUAAAGUCAUAUUGGUUCUAACAUGUUCAAUCACCAUGGCAAUCCAACCUGAAGUUUGAUAUAUUAAGGCAUAAAACAAAUUUAUGAUGCAAUUAACUAGAUCUUCAAAAAAGGAAAUAAUGAAUAAAUAAAUAAACAAAAAAAGUUACUUCCAGCAUAACAUGCACUCCAUGAUUGGCAAACCAACAAGGUAUCAUGCUCCAUCAAAGUAAAAUACAAUCAGGUAAUUCUGAAAGAAACAAGACUAUGCAGUUUCUAACAAUCAUAUUGUCUACUACUAAAUUGUUAACAUUCUAGAACAAUAAAAUUUAGCCAUUCAAAUUUCCCACUUUGUUUCCUUUAAUAUUUUCUCUAAAGACAAUGUAUUAAAAAAAAAAAAGUUGAUUCAAAACUUCAUAAAAAUAAAUAACUUACUCAAGAAAAGGAGCUAAAAUCUAUCACUCUAAAAGCCCAAAAAUACAAUUUUAAAUCCCCAUCAAGUGCUAUCCAUCUUUUUUCCUCUCUACCGCAGUAACCAUAGCAUUCAUGGUUGUCAACUAGUAAAACAUAUCAUGUAUCUAAUAAGUCUUUUUGGAAUGUUAGAAACUAGAUAGGAGAAAAAAAUAUUUCACAUAUAAAAUGUGCAGCACCUUUUAUCAACUAUUUCACACAUACAUACAAAAAUUACCCAAUCAAUAUAUCAAAAGGAUACUAUAAGCAUGUAGAAGCACCUUUUAUCAACUCAUUUUUAAUACAAGAGGGAAGAAAAAUGGAAGGUACCCAGAGG